AUAUAACCUGCCCUGCUCAACCCCAAAGAGGGGUAAGUCUCUUUGUGGAGAAGUCUCAGACUGACAUGCUGGUGUUAAAAAUAAAACUGUACACUUUGCCUCCAAAACUUCUGGAUGAGUCUUCCACUCUCCUGGACUACCUACCUGUCUGUGUGUUCUGGCUGCCACUUUGCCUCUACAUUUUGGGGUUGGUCCAGGAUGAAUAGAGUGAGCUGAUCACUUGAUCCUGGGUUGAAGUCCUGUGGGCAGAGUGAAGGUCAUUCUAGAUCCUUAAAGAGACAGCACACUCAGAGCCAGCAUUCUCUGAGCCUCUCUGGAGGACCUAGGGUGACAGCUGCUCCCUGCUUAUGACUCCCCCAAACUCAAGGGAGCAAGGACGCAUUGUCUGUUUUGGCCUGGCUGCCAGAGGAGCAAUGGCAUUAUUCUCAGUGAUCCUGUUCCCGGUUGCUAUGCUGCUUUCAUCUUUCCCUGUAAAAGGGGAUGAGAAUGAAGCCUUUGCUGCUUUGUCAACUAGUCUACCAGAAGUCCAAGAGGAGAUUGUAAACAAACACAAUGAACUAAGGAGAGCAGUGUCUCCAACUGCCAGUGAUAUGCUAAAGAUGUGAUAAUAAUGCAACAAGAUGAUAUGCCCCUUACAAGCAAGGAGCCCCUUGUGCCAGUUGCCCUGGCCACUGUGAGGAUGGGCUGUGCAGUAAGGUUUUUUUUCCUAAUUUUAUUUUAUUGGUACAUUUAAGGUAUACAGUAUAAUGGCAUUCAUCAUUGGGAAUUUGCACCUUUACAUAAUCUCUCUUGGUUCUUAUUUUUCCCCCUUCCCCUGCCCUCCCUUCAACCCCUCCAUCGCUCCCUA
rnacentral:lncRNA from 1 species